UAAGGACAAAACCCACGACCUCACAGGUUUAAGGACAAAACCCACGACCUCACAGAUUUAAGGACAAAACCCACGACUUCACAGGUUUAAGGACAAAACCCACGACCUCACAGAUUUAAGGACAAAACCCACGACUUCACAGGUUUAAGGACAAAACCCACGACCUCACAGGUUUAAGGACAAAACCCACGACCUCACAGAUUUAAGGACAAAACCCACGACUUCACAGGUUUAAGGACAAAACCCACGACCUCACGGGUUUAAGGACAAAACCCACGACCUCACGGGUUUAAGGGCAAAACCCACGACUUCACAGGUUUAAGGACAAAACCCACGACCUCACGGGUUUAAGGACAAAACCCACGACCUCACAGGUUUAAGGACAAAACCCACGACCUCACAGAUUUAAGGACAAAACCCACGACUUCACAGGUUUAAGGACAAAACCCACGACCUCACAGAUUUAAGGACAAAACCCACGACUUCACAGGUUUAAGGACAAAACCCACGACCUCACAGGUUUAAGGACAAAACCCACGACCUCACAGGUUUAAGGACAAAACCCACGACCUCACAGAUUUAAGGACAAAACCCACGACUUCACAGGUUUAAGGACAAAACCCACGACCUCACAGAUUUAAGGACAAAACCCACGACUUCACAGGUUUAAGGACAAAACCCACGACCUCACAGGUUUAAGGACAAAACCCACGACCUCACAGAUUUAAGGACAAAACCCACGACCUCACAGGUUUAAGGACAAAACCCACGACCUCACGGGUUUAAGGGCAAAACCCACGACCUCACGGGUUUAAGGGCAAAACCCACGACUUCACGGGUUUAAGGACAAAACCCACGACCUCACGGGUUUAAGGGCAAAACCCACGACCUCACGGGUUUAAGGGCAAAACCCACGACCUCACGGGUUUAAGGGCAAAACCCACGACCUCACGGGUUUAAGGGCAAAACCCACGACCUCACGGGUUUAAGGGCAAAACCCACGACCUCACGGGUUUAAGGGCAAAACCCACGACCUCACGGGUUUAAGGGCAAAACCCACGACCUCACGGGUUUAAGGGCAAAACCCACGACCUCACGGGUUUAAGGGCAAAACCCACGACCUCACGGGUUUAAGGGCAAAACCCACGACCUCACGGGUUUAAGGGCAAAACCCACGACCUCACGGGUUUAAGGACAAAACCCACGACCUCACAGAUUUAAGGACAAAACCCACGACUUCACGGGUUUAAGGACAAAACCCACGACCUCACGGGUUUAAGGACAAAACCCACGACCUCACGGGUUUAAGGGCAAAACCCACGACCUCACGGGUUUAAGGGCAAAACCCACGACCUCACGGGUUUAAGGGCAAAACCCACGACCUCACGGGUUUAAGGGCAAAACCCACGACCUCACGGGUUUAAGGGCAAAACCCACGACCUCACGGGUUUAAGGGCAAAACCCACGACCUCACGGGUUUAAGGGCAAAACCCACGACCUCACGGGUUUAAGGGCAAAACCCACGACCUCACGGGUUUAAGGGCAAAACCCACGACCUCACGGGUUUAAGGGCAAAACCCACGACCUCACGGGUUUAAGGGCAAAACCCACGACCUCACAGAUUUAAGGGCAAAACCCACGACCUCACGGGUUUAAGGGCAAAACCCACGACCUCACGGGUUUAAGGGCAAAACCCACGACCUCACGGGUUUAAGGGCAAAACCCACGACCUCACGGGUUUAAGGGGAAAACCCACGACCUCACGGGUUUAAGGGCAAAACCCACGACCUCACAGGUUUAAGGACAAAACCCACGACCUCACAGGUUUAAGGACAAAACCCACGAGUUCACAGAUUUAAGGACAAAACCCACGACCUCAUGGGUUUAAGGGCAAAAUCCACGACCUCACGGGUUUAAGGGCAAAACCCACGACCUCACAGAUUUAAGGGCAAAACCCACGACCUCACAGGUUUAAGGACAAAACCCACGACCUCACAGGUUUAAGGACAAAACCCACGAGUUCACAGAUUUAAGGGCAAAACCCACGAGUUCACAGAUUUAAGGGCAAAACCCACGAGUUCACAGAUUUAAGGGCAAAACCCACGACCUCACAGGUUUAAGGGCAAAACCCACGACCUCACAGGUUUAAGGACAAAACCCACGACCUCACGGGUUUAAGGACAAAACCCACGACCUCACGGGUUUAAGGACAAAACCCACGACCUCACAGGUUUAAGGGCAAAACCCACGACCUCACAGAUUUAAGGGCAAAACCCACGACCUCACAGAUUUAAGGGCAAAACCCACGACUUCACGAGUUUAAGGACAAAACCCACGACCUCACAGAUUUAAGGGCAAAACCCACGACCUCACAGAUUUAAGGGCAAAACCCACGACCUCACAGAUUUAAGGGCAAAACCCACGACUUCACGAGUUUAAGGACAAAACCCACGACCUCACAGAUUUAAGGGCAAAACCCACGACCUCACAGGUUUAAGGACAAAACCCACGACCUCACAGAUUUAAGGGCAAAACCCACGACUUCACAGGUUUAAGGACAAAACCCACGACCUCACAAGUUUAAGGACAAAAUCCACGACCUCACAGGUUUAAGGACAAAACCCACGACCUCACAGGUUUAAGGGCAAAACCCACGACCUCACAGGUUUACGGUGAGGAUGAAUUUCACGCUGAAUAAACAGAAAAAACCUGCAGCUGAGGUGAAAAUCUGCUGUCCACACAUCUAAAAGUAACAGAAGCACAGUGUAAUUCCUGUCACACCUUCAGAAUUAAAGAAUAAAGACAAUAAUCUUCAUGACAUUUCCAGUCUGAUGUCUUAUAAUUUGCUUUUUAAUCACCAGGAAACAAACCCAGGGCUCAAUUUACCAAAUUAAAAGACUGGAGAAGCAGAAAUCUUAACUUUGAAAGCAGCAAAAACUAAUUAAAUCAGAAAUUUUACAGAUUAAAAUGCAGAAUUUUUGUCUCUAAAAUCCAAAUUUUCUCACAUUUCUUGACCAAUAUGACAAAA